UGCGGCUGGAUCACCUCCUUUCUAAGGAAACGAAUGAAGUAAGGAGUUGUAUUACUGUUUAGAUGCUAAGGUGCAUCAAAAAUUUCUGGUGGCGAUGCGUUUAGGGGACACACCCGUUCCCAUCCCGAACACGACGGUUAAGACCUAAGCGGCCGAAAGUACUAUACUGGAGACGGUAUGGGAGGAUAGGAGGCUGCCAGAUUAAAAAAAGAAUAAAUCCUAUUUAUUUAUAAAAGAGGGCUUAUAGCUCAGCCGGUUAGAGCGCACGCCUGAUAAGCGUGAGGUCGGUGGUUCGAGUCCACUUAAGCCCACUAGAUAUCUUUUGUAAAUAGACGUGGGGGUGUAGCUCAGUUGGGAGAGCACCUGCCUUGCAAGCAGGGGGUCAAGAGUUCGAAUCUCUCCAUCUCCACUGAAUCUUCUAAUGAAGAUUCCAUUGUACAUUGAAAACCGAAUACUGAAACACAUCAAAUUAUCAGAUAACGAUAAAUAGACAUCGAAAGCAAAUCCAAAAACAAUGAAUGGUUUUAUCUGUAUAAUCGCUAUGCAGGUAAAGCAAAGAGCCCAUCAAAAGAUGGACUUCAUGAGAAAUCAUGUGAGAACAAAGGUUAUUGGACCUAAUGUUCCUAUAUUAAGCUUAAUGAGUAAGGAUAGGCCGCAAUGCUGGUCAUACGCCAAAUGCUUCGCAUUCGUCGUAUGAAGUGCUUCGCACUAUAAUAAACAGCAGCAGUCAAAAGAAUGUAAACAUUCUUUUGUCAGCCAUUGCAGUUUGUUGCAUUGCUCAUGU
rnacentral:misc_RNA from 1 species